rnacentral:lncRNA from 1 species
GAGCGAUUUGGCUGGCAAGUUCUUUGAUUACCAUUAGUCUGAUGUUAUCCGGUCCAGUGGCUUUGUCUGGAUUAAAUGUUUUAAAGUUUGUUACAGAUGGCGAAGAUAGGAAUGAUAUUCUGACAGUGAAGUUGCUGUUAAUGAGAUAUACAAAGCUUAAGGAAACGACCAUUUGACUUCAAGGGGGUGGGCAGGGUUAAUUUUUUUUCACAAAAAAGAUAUUGUGGUCAAGCAGCU